UACGGGGGGAGCAAGCGUUGUUCGGAUUUACUGGGCGUAAAGGGCGCGUAGGCGGCGCAACAAGUCACUUGUGAAAUCUCCGGGCUUAACCCGGAGCGGCCAAGUGAUACUGUCGGGCUCGAGUCCGGAAGAGGCGAGUGGAAUUCCUGGUGUAGCGGUGAAAUGCGCAGAUAUCAGGAGGAACACCAAUGGCGAAGGCAGCUCGCUGGGACGUGACUGACGCUGAGACGCGAAAGCGUGGGGAGCAAACAGG
rnacentral:rRNA from 1 species